AUUGAACGCUGGCGGCAUGCCUUACACAUGCAAGUCGAACGGCAGCACGGGAGCAAUCCUGGUGGCGAGUGGCGCACGGGUGAGUAAUAUAUCGGAACGUGCCCAGUCGUGGGGGAUAACGCAGCGAAAGCUGUGCUAAUACCGCAUACGAUCUAAGGAUGAAAGCGGGGGAUCGCAAGACCUCGCGCGAUUGGAGCGGCCGAUAUCAGAUUAGCUAGGUGGUGGGGUAAAGGCCCACCAAGGCGACGAGCUGUAGCUGGUCUGAGAGGACGACCAGCCACACUGUAACUGAGACACGGUCCAGACUCCUACGGGAGGUAGCAGUGGGGAAUUUUGGACAAUGGGCGCAAGCCUGAUCCAGCAAUGCCGCGUGCAGGAUGAAGGCCUUCGGGUUGUAAACUGCUUUUGUACGGAACGAAACGGCCCUUUCUAAUACAGGGGGCUAAUGACGGUACCGUAAGAAUAAGCACCGGCUAACUACGUGCCAGCAGCCGCAGUAAUAC
rnacentral:rRNA from 1 species